AUUGAACGCUGGCGGAAUGCUUUACACAUGCAAGUCGAGCGGCAGCGCGGCCUUCGGGCUGGCGGCGAGCGGCGAACGGGUGAGUAAUGCAUCGGAACAUGCCCAGUCGUGGGGGAUAACACUUCGAAAGAAGUGCUAAUACCGCAUACGUCCUGAGGGGGAAAGCGGGGGAUCGCAAGACCUCGCGCGAUUGGAGUGGCCGAUGUCAGAUUAGCUAGUUGGUGGGGUAAAGGCCUACCAAGGCGGCGAUCUGUAGCUGGUCUGAGAGGAUGAUCAGCCACACUGGGACUGAGACACGGCCCAGACUCCUACGGGAGGCAGCAGUGGGGAAUUUUGGACAAUGGGGGCAACCCUGAUCCAGCCAUUCCGCGUGAGUGAAGAAGGCCUUCGGGUUGUAAAGCUCUUUCGGCAGGAACGAAACGGUGGGCUCUAACAUAGUCCGCUAAUGACGGUACCUGAAGAAGAAGCACCGGCUAACUACGUG
rnacentral:rRNA from 1 species